rnacentral:rRNA from 1 species
UACGGGGGGGGCAAGCGUUGUUCGGAAUUACUGGGCGUAAAGGGCUCGUAGGCGGCCAACUAAGUCAGACGUGAAAUCCCCGGGCUCAACCCGGGAACUGCGUCCGAUACUGGCAGGCUUGAAUCCGGGAGAGGGAUGCGGAAUUCCAGGUGUAGCGGUGAAAUGCGUAGAUAUCUGGAGGAACACCGGUGCGAAGGCGGCAUCCUGGACCGGCAUUGACGCU